rnacentral:lncRNA from 11 species
AAAGACCUUGUAAAACUAUAAAUCCCAGGACUCCAUAGCAUGCAGCCGUGGCCAUUAAAGUGGUAGCAAACAGAAAUACUUCUACGGUGCUUCAGGCUGGUUACCUUGACAAGAGGUGGCCAGGAUUUCCUACCUGUCCACAAUACAGGUGAGUGGCAGGUGAGGCUGUUCCUCCCAAGACUCACCUGAGGAGACACAGGGGAGGUGUCUUGGCAGGAACGGCUCAAAGAGAGAUGCAACCAGGAAGUGACUUGCCGCCCACAUUUGUACUCGCAAUUUACUCCGGGGAGCAUUGCUCUGUUUAAGCCGAGGCCUCCUUGACGGACAGAGGAAAAGAGCCUUCCCUCCCCAAGGAAGGCCAACACCUGGAAGCCUCUUCUCCUGCCUCAGCUUGGCUCCUCCACCUUCUGUCGCUCGAUGGCUCCUUUGCUGACGCAGAAAACGGAGACGUCUCUCAGCGUUUCAGCCUCUCCUUCGCUUGGAGUGAGUUUCGUGUCAACGCUCCCGGUUGUCCUCACCAUCCUUCUGCUGCUUCUCUGCUUCCCUUUUAGAAGGAAAAAAAGACAAUUGUCUCCACGAGUCCUUCAGAGGGAGAGGAAUUCAUCCCAGCUUAUUCACAUAGCCAAAUUGGAAGAGGAACCGAGUCCGGAGAGAAAGCCUUUGGAAGAUGAAAACACUCACAAAGGACAUACAUAUCCUGGCAACGGAGUCCGUGGAUUUGCACUAAUUGAGCUUUCACUUGGUCAUCAGAAACAGUCUUGUUCAUAUAAAG